UAACUGAAGAGUUUGAUCAUGGCUCAGAUUGAACGCUGGCGGUAUGCUUAACACAUGCAAGUCGAACGGAAACGAUGGGAGCUUGCUCCCAGGCGUCGAGUGGCGGACGGGUGAGUAACGCGUAGGAAUC
rnacentral:rRNA from 1 species